GACGAACGCUGGCGGCGUGCUUAACACAUGCAAGUCGAACGGAAAGGCCCUGCUUUUGUGGGGUGCUCGAGUGGCGAACGGGUGAGUAACACGUGAGUAACCUGCCCUUGACUUUGGGAUAACUUCAGGAAACUGGGGCUAAUACCGGAUAGGAGCUCCUGCUGCAUGGUGGGGGUUGGAAAGUUUCGGCGGUUGGGGAUGGACUCGCGGCUUAUCAGCUUGUUGGUGGGGUAGUGGCUUACCAAGGCUUUGACGGGUAGCCGGCCUGAGAGGGUGACCGGCCACAUUGGGACUGAGAUACGGCCCAGACUCCUACGGGAGGCAGUAGUGGGGAAUAUUGCACAAUGGGCGGAAGCCUGAUGCAGCAACGCCGCGUGCGGGAUGACGGCCUUCGGGUUGUAAACCGCUUUCGCUUGUGACGAAGCGUGAGUGACGGUAAUGGGUAAAGAAGCACCGGCUAACUACGUG
rnacentral:rRNA from 1 species